rnacentral:rRNA from 1 species
GUAGGAUAGAAAUAAAUUAUAUUAGUUGAAAGUUAAAGGAGGUGGUUAGGAGAAUGAUUGGUUUUAUAGGUAGAAUUUGUUAAAUUGAUUGUUUCUUAAGAUAGGGAAUUGAAGCUUUGAAAGUUAAAGUUGAAACUAGGAUUAGAUACCCUAUUAUUUUAAUUGUGAAGAAGUGAACUUGAGUAGUAGUAGUUAAGAACUUGAAACUCAAAGAAUUUGGCGGUGUCUUAGUCUUUUCAGAGGAAUCUGUCCUAUAAUUGAUAUUACACGUUAAAUGUUACUUAAUUUGGUAUAGCCAAUUUGUAUACCGCCGUCAUAAGAUCAUCUUUUCAGAGAAAGAAUUUUCUUAAUAUUAUAGGAUAAUAUGUCAGGUCAAGGUGCAGUUUAUAAUUAAGGAGGAGAUGGAUUACAAUAAAUUUAUUUAAAUGGAUUUCUUACUGAGAUGUAGGGAUGAAGGUGGAUUUGAAGGUAAUUUUGUUAAAUUAUGAUAAAAUGAUUUAAGCUCUAGGGCAUGUACACAUCGCCCGUCACUCUCGUUAUUAAGAUGAGAUAAGUCGUAACAUAGUAGUCGUACUGGAAAGUGUGGCUAGGAAGUCAA